rnacentral:rRNA from 1 species
UUGGCCUUGACAUACUAAGAACUUUCCAGAGAUGGAUUGGUGCCUUCGGGAACUUAGAUACAGGUGCUGCAUGGCUGUCGUCAGCUCGUGUCGUGAGAUGUUGGGUUAAGUCCGCAACGAGCGCAACCCUUUUCCUUAUUUGCCAGCGGGUCAUGCCGGGAACUUUAAGGAUACUGCCAGUGACAAACUGGAGGAAGGCGGGGACGACGUCAAGUCAUCAUGGCCCUUACGGCCAGGGCUACACACGUGCUACAAUGGUCGGUACAAAGGGUUGCUACCUCGCGAGAGGAUGCUAAUCUCAAAAAGCCGAUCGUAGUCCGGAUCGCAGUCUGCAACUCGACUGCGUGAAGUCGGAAUCGCUAGUAAUCGCGGAUCAGAAUGCCGCGGUGAAUACGUUCCCGGGCCUUGUACACACCGCCCGUCACACCAUGGGAGUUUGUUGCACCAGAAGUAGGUAGUCUAACCGCAAGGAGGACGCUUACCACGGUGUGGCCGAUGACUGGGGUGAAGUCGUAACAAGGUAAGCGUACUACA